CUUUAUUCAAUAACCUUGUAAUAUAUCUCUUUUUCUCUCAAAUUAUCGAUCCACGAGCUAUCAUAUUUGUUUUCACUAGGAAUUAAUCAAGAAAUACAUAAUUUACAGUAGCAUAAAAUAUGAGUCUGAAUUGCCACAAUUGUCAAGCCAUGAGAAUGACAGAUUUAAAAAAAGAUAAUUGAGAAUUUCAAUACAUUAAGGUGGAGUAACUACAUUCGAGCCUAUGGUUGGCAAUUUGGCAACAACUUUUUUGCAAGUUUGAUUGCUGCCCCUAACUUAAAAUAUCUGUGUCCGUCAUUGUUGAUACUUCCAAUCAAACACUACAUGCCAGACAUUUUUGGUGUCUGGUGAGUGACCAAGACACCCUUGUUGCACACCAAACAAGAAAUAGGCUCCCUCCACCUCACUCAUUCUAGACGAAACAAGGAGUGAGAAGCAACUAGAAGAAGGGGGAAUAACAGCAAUUACACGGCAAAUGGGGGGAAAAGUAGUUAGGGAAUAAUAGCUACAAAUAAGAGGGGAGGGAGGCUCAGUAGAGUAGGCAAAUAUUGAGUGUGAGCGAGUUUUAUAAGUUCAUCUAUUGUAAUUGUUCUUAUGCAAUACAAUCAAUAUUUUCGAUAUUCUCUUUUCUUAUUUUCUUCUAGCGAAGUCCUAUCAAAGUGGUGUCAGAGCACAUUCGAUCUAAUGGCCGAGAAGAAGAUAGAAGUCAGAGUAGAAGCAAUAGAAAAGAAGCUGAAGGAAUUGAAAACGGAACUUCAAUGCUAACCUGGACUGGAAAGAGCAGUGGAGUACUUAACUCAAGAGUAUGGCCAAGACGACGCAAUCACUGGAGGCAAUUCCGAAAGAUGUGGCGUUACUGAUUAAACCGAACGCAGCCGUGAAAAGAAAUCUUGAAGGUCUGGGAUUGCAACAUAGAGGCACAACCAAAGAAGAGGAGGAGAUGUUGAAGUCUCAGUUUCUUCUCUGCAGGACGUUUCUAAACCAGGAACGCCAUCUCCAAACAGACAGGAGAAGAUGAAGACAACAAGUAACAAGCAGAAAGAAAAACUUGUGAAUGGGCUGACAAUUAGGGCUGAAAUUCAAAAGGUAAAAGAAGUGGGCUAGUUUUGAAGAUGGCCCAGCAAGUGGACUGGAAGGAUUCACUUAAUAGAGAUACCUCUUUUUUGGUUUAGUGGGA
rnacentral:lncRNA from 1 species